GGUCUCGUGGCCUAACGGGUAAGGCGUUGGUCUUCGGAACCAAAGACCGUUGGUACGAGUCCCACCGAGAUCG
rnacentral:tRNA from 1 species